rnacentral:rRNA from 1 species
UACGUAGGGGGCGAGCGUUGUCCGGAGUUACUGGGCGUAAAGCGCACGCAGGCGGUCUGCUCAGUUUGGAGUGACAGUUGGUGGCUUAACUGCCAAAGUGCUUCGAAAACUGACAGACUUGAGGGCUUCAGAGGGACACGGAAUUCCGGGUGGAGUGGUGAAAUGCGUAGAGAUCCGGAGGAACACCAAAGGCGAAGGCAGUGUCCUGGGGAGUACCUGACGCUCAGGUGCGAAAGCCAGGGGAGCGAACGGG